rnacentral:tRNA from 1 species
ACCUGGGUGGCCCAGUCAGUUGAGCCUCUGACUUCAGCUCAGGUCAUGAUUUCACCAUAUGUGAGUUCGAGCCCCACCUCAGGCU